rnacentral:rRNA from 1 species
UUUCUGUAUCGAGUGAGGAUAACGGAUUGAACAAUAAUGAUGUAACUUUCCUAUUAGUGUUGUCUAAAUGCUGGUGCCAGAAGACUCGGUAAAGCCAGGAACGCUAACGUUAGUAAUCUUAAACAGGCGUAAAGGGUUCGUAGACAGCUUUGCGUUGCAUAAAGGCGCAACUAGUUUCAAUUAACUUUAUUUUAAUUUGAACCUUUAUCCGUUUAAACUUACGAGUUAACUAUUGCUAUAAGUUUAUUUACGUAUCAUCUUAAAAAUAAAGGUUAACUAGAAUACUUUUAUAUAGCUGACCUCCUGAUAAGAUUAUGACUGUUGUAAUAACCUUAUUUACUAAUUUUGCUUCUUUUCUUCCCUAAAAAAAAAUAACUGUCUAUUAUAACGGAUAGUUAAGGGUAGCAAAUGUUAUGUAUAUGGGAGUAUGCAAUAGUGUACACUUAAUGCUUUACGUGUAUAGUCUCUUUUUUCUAUAUUUUGUUUGUAUUAAUUUUAAUUUAACUACCUUCACUAACUUCCUUUUCUUUUAGGUAGGAAAAGGUAUAGUGCAAGCAAGGAAAUGGAAAGUGGAAAUACUAAACAGGAUAAAGCCAUUAGUUAAAGGUACAAUUAGGUGUAUUAAUAACUUUAAAAGGGAAAGUAUUUAGUGUCUUAUGUGAAAUGAGUGAAGAUUGAAUCUGAUGCGAGGUACAACAACAAAUGCUUUAAGGAAUGAUGAAAUAUUUAGAUCUAAAGUGGAAGUGUUAGGGCGUAAGCUAUUUACCUAUUAAAGAUUGACGUUGAGGAACGUAGGUUGGGACAGAAAAAAGGAUUAGAUACCCAAGUAUUCCCAUC